CCAUGAACUUUACGACUCUUGGCAACGGAUAUCUUGGCUCUCGCAUCGAUGAAGAACGUAGCGAAAUGCGAUACUUGGUGUGAAUUGCAGAAUCCCGUGAACCAUCGAGUCUUUGAACGCAAGUUGCGCCCNAGGCUAUUUGGCCGAGGGCACGCCUGCCUGGGCGUCAUGC
rnacentral:rRNA from 1 species